CCCAUUCAUUUGCUUUAAAUGUCAUCUCAUUAUGUGCCUCAUAAAGACGGUAAAUUGGUACUCUGUUAAAUAAAGCGUACUUGCUAGUCCUCUGGCGACUCAAAGCACUCUUACAUUACAUACCACAUUCAUCCCCUCUGAUGGUAGAGGGUACAAAGUAAAGUACCGAAAGUGGAGUUUGCAGGGUUAGUUGAGUGUCUUGCUCAAAACACUUGGGCUUGUGGACAGCAACACUUGAGAUCGAACCCCUAACCCUCCCGUUCAGUGCUGACUCUCCCUUGUGUAGUCCUAACAUGUAAAAUAAAAAGAAAAGGUUUUGGCUUUUGUUAGUGUGUCAUGAAGAGGCUCUCAUCUCUCAUAGAAAAGAUAAAGCACCCACACUUGUCCAACACUUCACUGUGUGUUCAUGUUGCUUGUGGUAACCACUCUCUAAUGGUUGAUAUGACUUUUAAUGAGGCAAUAAUUAUGCCCUAACCUUGUACCCAGUGGACUCUUUCUAUUAAUGUAUACAUAAUGCAUCAGAAAAGAUAAUAAGCUAUUGACAGAACUGGGCCGUAGACCGGAGGCAAAAACCCGAUGAAUUAUUCUCUUUCAUCUUGCGUGCGGGGAAAUCUGAAUGCCACUUGUAUGAAUUGUUUUUCUUCCAUACUGUUUAAAUGGUGUAAUCUGUGCUGGAGGACCGCCUCCCUGUGUUUGAUGUGAAGGAGCUCUGGCCUUGAUUUGCACCUAAAAACACAUUACCAUUAUGUCUCGGUUUCAUAAUAAUACAGUAUUCUGCUGAAGAUUUUUUGCUUUGAAUAAUCAUGUAGUUGUUUGGUCCUUUUUUUGCCCCCUCAGACUUCUCUCCAGAGCGAAAAAACACCCCCACAUGCUUCCAGUCCCUUAACAUUAGAUCUGCUCCAGACAAUGUUCAGAGCAAGGAAAUGUAAAUUACUUUCUUGUUCAUUAAUUAUGCUAUAAAAAUGUAAAUUGCUUUGGUGACAAAAAAUGCAAAUGGGACUGAGAUAAAAGUCUCUUGUGCCAAAGGAGAGUGUAUGAAAGAUUCAUUUCUCUUUCUGUCCAAGAAACCAGAGAGGAGGACCUGUUAGUGCUUCCUGGCAGUAUCAGACACCAUUAGUCCAAUGACCCUCACAUGGACACAUAGCUUCAUUAGGAGGUGAGGAUUCAGGUGGGGCACCUUUAAUGGAACAAUGUAUAAACUCCUUUUUACAUCUGAGCUUGGUAAAUCCUCGGUCUGUCCAUUUCCAGCAGACCUGUCUCACUCCCAAUCACAGCCUGGAAACCCGUCACCACGGCAACAAAACAGCGCCUUCCCUAGAAGCAGAGGGGUGGUGGGGUGUCGAGAAAAUAUACAGAGGGCUUGCUCUGUAAUAGAAAAAUCCAGGUUUUUAUUGCCAUGUUUGAAGUGCCAAAAAAACAG